GUGGGAAAGCUUUGACCAUCCUACGGAUACUAUGCUGCCAGGAAUGAAACUUGGGUUGAACCGAAGGACAGGCAUGGGCCGGUUCCCGGUAUCUUGGAGAUCAGCAGAUGACCCUGGAACUGGAAACUUCUCAUUUCGAAUCAACCCAAAAGGAUCACCGCAGGCCUUUCUUUGCAGGGAUACAGAAUAUAUUUGGCGAGGCUAUACUUGGCCAUUGAAAAGUUAUGCAGAUACAUCUAAUGUCAGUUUUGUCAACAAUGAUGAAGAGAUAUACCUGGCCUACUCUAUUUCUGAUGCUUCGGCUAUCGUUAGAACAAAGUUGUACAAUUCAGGACAUCUUAAGAAAUUAGCAUGGCAUGAAAAAGAUGGCAAAUGGAAGGAAUUUUGGUCGCUACCCAUGUCUCUGUGUUACAGAUAUGGGUAUUGUGGCACCUAUGGAAUUUGUGAUCUUCAAGACCAAACUAGUCGAGAAUUUGAAUGUGAUUGUUUACCAGGGUAUGAACCAAAGUUCCCAAGGGACUGGAAUAUUCUGAAAGAUGCAUCAGGUGGUUGCGUCAGGAAGCGGCUUGAGUCUACCUCAGUAUGUGGACAUGGAGAAGGAUUUGUGAAAGUG
rnacentral:misc_RNA from 1 species